UACGGGGGGAGCAAGCGUUGUUCGGAUUUACUGGGCGUAAAGGGCGCGUAGGCGGCCACUGCAAGUCAGUUGUGAAAUCUCCGGGCUUAACCCGGAAAGGUCAACUAAUACUGCAGGGCUAGAGUGCAGAAGGGGCAACUGGAAUUCUCGGUGUAGCGGUGAAAUGCGUAGAUAUCUGGAGGAACACCGGUGGCGAAGGCGGCAUCCUGGACCGGCAUUGACGCUGAGGCGCGAAAGCCAGGGGAGCAAACGGG
rnacentral:rRNA from 1 species